AGUGGUUGUUUGUUAUGUUUAAAAAUCAGUUUUCUUUCAUUCUUCUUCUUACAGUAAAUACCCAGGAAGAUGAUGCAUUGGUAUGAUAUGUCACAUCUGUCAGCAUCACUCACUGGGCAUCCUUAUACAUAAAUUCAUCAAUAUGGUUGCUGAGCUUCUGCCAACUGUGAUUAGGCUUGGGAAAUGAGCCCUGCCACUCUGGACUUCAAUUUAAAAAAAUCAAGAACCAAGAAUCAUAUCAUCCUUAACGGAAACCUUCAGAAAGCAUUCCAGAAGCAGGUGUAACUACUGGAAUGAACUAUGGCUUAUAAGAUCUAUAAGUAUAAAUAAUUAAAAUGCAUGUGUUUGAUUGUUCUCUCCCUGCUGUGGUGUAAAUUAAGAGUAACACCACUGAAGUCAAUGGACUAAAGACAAUGUAAAUGAGAAGAGCAAAAAUGUUCUCUCCUUGAAAAACACAAUUUCCCCCCAAGAAUUCAGUCUUCACCCACUUUGGAUUGCACAUUACAACCACCAUCCAUCUAAAAGGCCAUUUCUAACAGAGGUUUUCAGCGUUACUUAAGAUUCUGAUUUUUAAUAGUGCUGAAUUCUUAUUGAAGAUGAUCACUCAACUCCUCUGAAAAAAAAAAAGUUGUGGUGGAAGAACAUUAUUAAUAGAUGUAUUAGUGGCCCCAGGAUCAUAGGCACAGUGCAAACACAUCGUGAGAAAGUUGUUGUCCCAAUCUAGCAGACAAGACAGAGAGGAAACAGAAGCAAAGAGAGGUGAAGUAGGUGCAACUGUUAAGUCAUUUAUUACUUAGAUAUGCCAGUCCAAAAAAAAAAUUGUCUGUAGAAUUUUAUCAAACACUUUCCUUAAAAUGUGAUUACCCCAGCUAGCCUCAUAUAUGACAAAUUAUCCUGGAAUUAGGUCAGUACUGUAUUUUUAACAACUUUGGCUGCAUAAUAUCUUCUCUAAAAAUUGUGCACCCGACAUCUAGCAGAUCAGAAUUCAGAACAUAUUUGCCUUUCUGUAACAAUCAAUUACUAAAGACCUCUAUCUAAAAGUCAGUUUUGCAAAGAAAAAAUACAGUAAUUAAGCCAAUGUCAUCUUGUUUUCAUAGUGCUCCAACUAGAGGCCAGUAU
rnacentral:lncRNA from 1 species